ACGGCUCAGUAACACGUAGCUAACCUGCCCUAAAGUCCGUAAUAACCUCGGGAAACUGAGGCUAAGGACGGAUAAAAGAUUUUUUCUGGAAUGAUUAAUCUUGAAAAUUCACGUUAGGAUGGGGCUGCGGCUGAUUAGGUAGUUGGCGGGGUAAAUGCCCACCAAGCCGAUGAUCAGUAAGGGCUCUUAGCGGAGAAGCCCUGAGAGGGAAUCUGAGACACUAUUCCCAGCCUUACGGGGUGCAGCAGUCGGGAAACUUUUGCAAUACACGGAAGUGUGACAAAGUAAGCCAGAGUGAUUCUCUAUAAUUGAGAAUCUUUUACGAGAUGUAAAAAGUCUCGAGAAUAAGGACCGGGCAAGACUGGUGCCAGCCGCCGCGGUAAUCCCAGCGGUCCAAGUCGCAGCCACAAUUGUUGGGUCUAAAACAUCCGUAGCUUGCUUUGUAAGUCUUUUGUGAAAUCGGGCCUCUUAAGGGUCCGGCGAGCAAAAGAUACUACUUAGCUAGAGACCGGGAGGCGUAAGAAGUACAGAUUGGGUAGCGGUCAAAUGUGUUGAUCCUUUCUGGACUAACAGUCGCGAAGGCGUCUUACGAGAACGGUUCUGACAGUGAGGGAUGAAGGCUAGGGGCGCAAAGUGGAUUAGAUACCCAUGUAGUCCUAGCAGUAAACACUGCACACUAAACAUUGGUACCUCCUCGAGAGGUAUCAGUGCUGUAGGGAAGCCGGAGAGUGUGCUACCUGGGAAGUAUAGUCGCAAGGCCGAAACUUAAAGGAAUUGGCGGGGGAGCAC
rnacentral:rRNA from 1 species